UACUCCUACGGGAGGCAGCAGUGGGGAAUAUUGGACAAUGGGCGAAAGCCUGGUCCAGCAAUGCCGCGUGAGUGAUGAAGGCCUUAGGGUUGUAAAGCUCUUUUACCCGGGAUGAUAAUGACAGUACCGGGAGAAUAAGCUCCGGCUAACUCCGUGCCAGCAGCCGCGGUAAU
rnacentral:rRNA from 1 species